AGCCGAAUGGCAACCUUCUAUGUGCUACCGCACUUAUCUGGUGACGAACCAUUUUAGGCAAAUUAAAAUCCUGGCCAAAAUGAAAAUUGCCCAAUAAAAAUACCACAAAAUUCCAGAGUAGGAUUAUAGCAAGCUACGGUCACAUAUGAUUUGCAGACUUCCGUUCUCUUUUUGUGAAGGCGUGAUCGAGUGCAGUUCAAUAUUGUGCAAAAUCCAUAUUUAAAAAUCCACGAGCAUCGUGUGGUUCGGAUUAUAGUUUUUCAAGGCAAAUACUGCCAAGUGAUAGUUUACCUUUAACUGCGUCGCUGCCGGUCCCACGUUUGGAGAUAGGAGUUUUAGUGGCUGCGUCGCCAAGGCGAUAGAUUUACAACUGCUGGCAUCAGGAGCACCCACCGUGUGCAGUGGAAGGCUGGGCUUGACCUCUUCUGCUGCCGACAGAUCACAGGUCAACCCACCCCAGAGUUGGCGUUCUUUUUUUUUCUUCAUCGCCGCACGCAGGAAGCAGAUCGCCGUGCAUCCAUUUAAUGCACAAAUCAGCUUGGUGUCUUCUUCAACCCUGCGCAUUCCAAUAAUAUUUGGGCACAACACGAACCCCAGGCUGGCCUUGUCGCUGGGUAUGCUGCGAACCCGAAGCAGCCGCAACACGAAUGAUCGUGUUCAGUAUUAACUUAACUUGUGGGAGAUCUGACAAGUUUAUAUAUGUGAUUCUCCCGAUUUAUAGUAAUACCUACAGCAAAUCAUCAAACGUCAUCAGGCCUGCUGACAUCGAUGGAAAGUGCGUGAGUACAGAACAAAAUAAUAAAACACACAAACAUAUAUAUAAAGAAAGUCAGAUAUUCCUAAAUAGUACUCUUAAAAUACCUUGCCUUAAUUAAUCCUGAUUUGAAGAAGUUUAUAGAUUAAAUACUCAUUAAUCAUAAAUAAUUCUAAUGUAAAAUAAGUCGAAGGAACAAAAGAAGAAUGUAAGCUUAUAUACCAGUAUUUGAAUUUCUACCUUAAUUACUUUUUCUUUCAUUUUGUCGUUGAUAAUCAAAAUUAAUCCAUAAGAGAUUUUCUUAACAUAAAUAACGUAAUUUUUAGUUUAAGGAUUAGGUUUAGGAAAAUGUAUCUGAAUCUUAUAUUUAUCUUUAAUUAUAUGAGGACCAAAAUGAAUUAAUUUGACUUCUUGUUGGGCACCAAAGGGUAU